rnacentral:tRNA from 1 species
UUAUCAUAAAAGGAAAUCUGACAGGGACGGGAUUCGAACCCGCGCAGUUACCUAUAGGUGCCUAAAACCUACCCCUUAGACCAACUCGGGCACCCUGCCUAAUAAUUGUCGUGUUGAAUAAGGUCAGAGAUGAGAUAAGAUAGAAAUUUAAUUGUUUUUGUUGAGAAGAUUUUGUGAUGGUUAAUUUUGAAAUUUUAGAUUUUAGGAUGAUAUUAUUCUCGAGUAUUAAUAUAGUUUUUUUUAACAGUAAGUAGAGAUGAUAGUA